CAACCCUCAAGCCCUGCUUGGUGUUGGGGCCCUACGGCUGCCGUAGGCCCUGAAAGGAAGUGGCGGGCUCGCUACAACUCCGAGCGUAGUAAUUCAUUAUCUCGCUAGGGAGGUGCGGCGUGCUCCUGCCGUUAAAGACCCCAUCUUUAACCAA
rnacentral:misc_RNA from 1 species